UCGACGCUUUGUCUUUAAUUGAUCUGACGAGCUUGCUCUGAUUUGAUUUUCUUUGACAAAGAGUGGCGAACGGGUGAGUAACACGUGGGUAACCUACCUCUUAGCAGGGGAUAACAUUUGGAAACAAGUGCUAAUACCGUAUAAUACCAACAACCGCAUGGUUGUUGGUUGAAAGAUGGUUCUGCUAUCACUAAGAGAUGGACCCGCGGUGCAUUAGCUAGUUGGUAAGGUAACGGCUUACCAAGGCAAUGAUGCAUAGCCGAGUUGAGAGACUGAUCGGCCACAAUGGGACUGAGACACGGCCCAUACUCCUACGGGAGGCAGCAGUAGGGAAUCUUCCACAAUGGGCGCAAGCCUGAUGGAGCAACGCCGCGUGUGUGAUGAAGGGUUUCGGCUCGUAAAACACUGUUAUAAGAGAAGAACGGCACUGAGAGUAACUGUUCAGUGUGUGACGGUAUCUUACCAGAAAGGAACGGCUAAAUACGUGCCAGCAGCCGCGGUAAUACGUAUGUUCCAAGCGUUAUCCGGAUUUAUUGGGCGUAAAGCGAGCGCAGACGGUUAUUUAAGUCUGAAGUGAAAGCCCUCAGCUCAACUGAGGAAUGGCUUUGGAAACUGGAUGACUUGAGUGCAGUAGAGGAAAGUGGAACUCCAUGUGUAGCGGUGAAAUGCGUAGAUAUAUGGAAGAACACCAGUGGCGAAGGCGGCUUUCUGGACUGUAACUGACGUUGAGGCUCGAAAGUGUGGGUAGCAAACAGGAUUAGAUACCCUGGUAGUCCACACCGUAAACGAUGAGUGCUAGAUGUUCGAGGGUUUCCGCCCUUGAGUGUCGCAGCUAACGCAUUAAGCACUCCGCCUGGGGAGUACGACCGCAAGG
rnacentral:rRNA from 1 species